rnacentral:rRNA from 1 species
UACAGAGGUCCCAAGCGUUGUUCGGAUUUACUGGGCGUAAAGGGUGCGUAGGUGGCGAGGUAAGUUCCAUGUGAAAUCUCCGAGCUCAACUCGGAAAUGGCAUUGAAUACUAUCCCGCUUGAGGGUCGGAGGGGAGACUUGAAUUCUCGGUGUAGCAGUGAAAUGCGUAGAUAUCAGGAGGAACACCGAUGGCGAAGGCAGGUCUCUGGGCUGACACUGACGCUCAUGCACGAAAGCGUGGGGAGCAAACAGG